UUCACGGCCGUGCAAGAAAUCCUGUCAGUGAAUGGACCGCCAUCUGUGUAGGGAUGUAUUUUGGAGUGGACUGUGAUUGAAGAAGUGGGAUGGGUUUUCUUAGUUGACCUGUUUUAUUUUUUAUGAUGUCGUUUUCCCGCAAUGUUUUUUAAAGUUUCUUAUUCAAUACACCAGCCAGCUGGUGGCGAUAAUGAACCAUUAACAUUGGAUGACAACCGCCGCUAAACCCCAUCGAAUAAGAAGCAUGUGCUGUCGCGAAAUCAGGAUUGUCGAAUGACACUAAAGUACUGUAGCCUACUCCGGUUUACUUUUGUGUAUUAUAUUAUAGUCUACACAUCCAAGAGUCACUCUCAUUGAACAAAGACUCAAACGGCUAGUUGAAUCCAAGAAAAUGGUGGCUGUAUCGGUGAUUGCCAUGGCAGUUGGAACU